AUACGUAGGGUGCGAGCGUUGUCCGGAAUUACUGGGCGUAAAGAGCUCGUAGGUGGUUUGUCGCGUCGUCUGUGAAAUUCCGGGGCUUAACUCCGGGCGUGCAGGCGAUACGGGCAUAACUUGAGUACUGUAGGGGAGACUGGAAUUCCUGGUGUAGCGGCGAAAUGCGCAGAUAUCAGGAGGAACACCGGUGGCGAAGGCGGGUCUCUGGGCAGUAACUGACGCUGAGGAGCGAAAGCAUGGGUAGCGAACAGGAUUAGAUACCCUGGUAGUCCAUGCCGUAAACGGUGGGCGCUAGGUGUAGGGGUCUUCCACGACUUCUGUGCCGUAGCUAACGCAUUAAGCGCCCCGCCUGGGGAGUACGGCCGCAAGGCUAAAACUCAAAGGAAUUGACGGGG
rnacentral:rRNA from 1 species